rnacentral:tRNA from 1 species
AAGGUAUUAGUAAAAUUAUUACAUAACUUUGUCAAAGUUAAUUUACAGGCCCUUAAUCCUGUAUAUCUUA